rnacentral:lncRNA from 1 species
GGUGAAAGGCACUUAAAAAUAUAUUGAUUAUCUGAAUGAUCAGGUUUGAAGAAAAAGAAACAAAUAUUUGCUGAAAUAUAACAGAGAGAUCAAGAUUUUUCCUUUGUUAAUGAUUUCCAUUAGAAAAUUACAAGAAUAUUCUGAGCAAUUAUGUUAACAAACAAUCAUCCACUCACAGAGCAAUCAAUUAGCUACCUCAUUGUUUUCCCUACCCUAAGUUGGUCUCUGAUCCUUGUGGUGCUGCUACUGAGGAGGUUGAACUGUGAGCAGCAGCAGCUGCUGCUUUGGCCUCUAUUUCUGUCGAAGGAACUGUGCCACUUGAAGCAGCUACAUCAGAUUCAGCUGCCUCUCCGAACUUUUUGUAAAUAUCACCUCUAUAAAAUUUCCUUGUCCUAAUCACCAAAAUAAUUUAAACAAGGCUUCCAAACAAAGCCACUGCAGCCAUUAUAAUGAAGGCCAAUUUGUAACAAUUCACUCCUUCACAAGUCAAGUCCUCCCCUGCUUUCCUAACCCUACCCAAAGCUUCCAACUGCUUCAAGGCCUCUGCAUCAUAUAAAUUAUCAGCCAUUUUGACAUUCAGAAGAUAAGCCCCAAUAGGGCUAGCAGCACCACCAACAUUGAUCAAAGUGGAACAGUAUUUGAGGCCAAAGAUUUCUGAUACAAUGGCAAAAAACAAUGGCCAUUGUGCCCCAGAACAGAACCCAAUAAUCACAGAAGCAAAGUAGAGACAGUUGGGGAUGCCGAAGGCGAUUAGAAGAUGGCCAACGCAUGAUAAAAGAAGCACAAGAGUGAGCAGAAGGGGACAAGGGAACUUAUACUUUUUCAAAAGCACUUCUGAAGAGAAGCCGGAUGUAACUCUUCCAAGGUAAUUCCAGAUGGUUACCAGAGAUAUAAAAAUGCUUAUGCUAUGAGUUGGGUAGGCCUAAUGAGCUCCCAAUCUGACCCAAGUUGUCGACGGCGGUUAAUGUCCCACCGUCACCACAGGUCAUAACAAUGAACAAGAUCAACAUGUCAAUGCUGAAAACUGCUUUCACAUUGACUAGUUGACCUGUCUCAAGGAAUAUUAGAUGAAAGGCUUUCACUGAAGAGUAAAAGAUAAGGUGGAGACAUUGGGUUCAACAGCCAUUCUGAACAGAAUCAUAUGACUAGUACUGGUGUAGCAGGAGCGAGGAAAAUGAGAGGUGCAUAUAACUGAGCAUCUUGGAAGAGUUAUGACGCAGCAGUACUUGAGCAAAAGGAUAUUGGAAAACACGAACCACAAACCACCAAGUCCCAUUUAGUCUCAGAAUACCUGGAACUAAGCAAAAAGACAAAAAAACACUCAAACCCACAUUAUGAGCAAAAGAUGAGAGAACACUCUUUAAUUUCAAUUUCAAUUCUCAACAACAACUGAUUUGAG